AACGAACGCUGGCGGCAUGCCUAACACAUGCAAGUCGAACGAGACCUUCGGGUCUAGUGGCGCACGGGUGCGUAACGCGUGAGAACCUGCCCUUAGGUUCGGAAUAACUCCCCGAAAGGGGUGCUAAUACCGGAUAAUGUCUUCGGACCAAAGAUUUAUCGCCUUUGGAUGGGCCCGCGUUGGAUUAGCUAGUUGGUAGGGUAAAAGCCUACCAAGGCGACGAUCCAUAGCUGGUCUGAGAGGAUGAUCAGCCACACUGGGACUGAGACACGGCCCAGACUCCUACGGGAGGCAGCAGUGGGGAAUAUUGGACAAUGGGCGAAAGCCUGAUCCAGCAAUGCCGCGUGAGUGAUGAAGGCCUUAGGGUUGUAAAGCUCUUUUACCCGGGAUGAUAAUGACAGUACCGGGAGAAUAAGCUCCGGCUAACUCCGCG
rnacentral:rRNA from 1 species